rnacentral:rRNA from 1 species
CCCCUAGAUGUUCUGGGCCGCACGCGCGCUACACUGAACAGUUCAACAAGUCUUAACCUUGGCCGAUAGGUCUGGGUAAUCUUUGAACGCUGUUCGUGAUUGGGAUAGAUCUUUGCAAUUAUUAAUCUUGAACGAGGAAUUCCUAGUAAACGCGAAUCAUCAGUUCGCAUUGAUUACGUCCCUGCCCUUUGUACACACCGCCCGUCGCACCUACCGAUUGAAUGAUUCGGUGAAAUUCUCGGACUGUGCACAUUAAUCCUUCGGGAUUUUUGAGCGUAGGAAGUUAAGUAAACCUCAUCAUUUAGAGGAAGGUGAAGUCGUANCA